AGCGAACGCUGGCGGCAGGCCUAACACAUGCAAGUCGAACGAACCCUUCGGGGUUAGUGGCGGACGGGUGAGUAACACGUGGGAACGUGCCUUUAGGUUCGGAAUAACUCAGGGAAAAUUGUGCUAAUACCGAAUGUGCCCUUCGGGGGAAAGAUUUAUCGCCCUUAGAGCGGCCCGCGUCUGAUUAGCUAGUUGGUGAGGUAAUGGCUCACCAAGGCUACGAUCAGUAGCUGGUCUGAGAGGAUGACCAGCCACAUUGGGACUGAGACACGGCCCAAACUCCUACGGGAGGCAGCAGUGGGGAAUCUUGCGCAAUGGGCGAAAGCCUGACGCAGCCAUGCCGCGUGGAUGAUGAAGGUCUUAGGAUUGUAAAAUCCUUUCACCGGUGAAGAUAAUGACUGUAGCCGGAGAAGAAGCCCCGGCUAACUUCGUGCCAGCCGCCGCAGUAACAC
rnacentral:rRNA from 1 species